UGAAACAGUCUACACCCUGAACAAGCCCAAUCCCGUCUGAUCUCAGAAGCCAAGCAGGGUCGGGCCUGGUUAGUAAUUGGAUGGGCGAACACCUAGGAAGACUAGGUACUGUAGGCA
rnacentral:rRNA from 1 species